UGGGGGAUAUUGCACAAUGGGCGAAAGCCUGAUGCAGCGACGCCGCGUGGGGGAUGAAGGCUUUCGGGUUGUAAACCUCUUUCGCUAUCGAACAAGGCCCGCUUAGGGUGGGUUGAGGGUAGGUGGAGAAGAAGCGCCGGCUAACUACGUGCCAGCAGCCGCGGUAAUACGUAGGGCGCGAGCGUUGUCCGGACUUAUUGGGCGUAAAGGGCUUGUAGGCGGCUUGUUGCGCCUGCUGUGAAAACGCGGGGCUUAACUUCGCGCGUGCAGUGGGUACGGGCAGGCUUGAGUGUGGUAGGGGUGACUGGAAUUCCAGGUGUAGCGGUGGAAUGCGCAGAUAUCUGGAGGAAAACCGAUGGCGAAGGCAGGUCACUGGGCCAUUACUGACGCUGAGGAGCGAAAGCAUGGGUAGCGAACAGG
rnacentral:rRNA from 1 species